AUGAACGCUGGCGGCGUGCCUAAUACAUGCAAGUCGAACGAGUUCUGAUUAUUGAAGGGUGCUUGCAUCUUGAUUUAAUUUUGAACGAGUGGCGGACGGGUGAGUAACACGUGGGUAACCUGCCCUUAAGUGGGGGAUAACAUUUGGAAACAGAUGCUAAUACCGCAUAAAUCCAAGAACCGCAUGGUUCUUGGCUGAAAGAUGGCGUAAGCUAUCGCUUUUGGAUGGACCCGCGGCGUAUUAGCUAGUUGGUGAGGUAACGGCUCACCAAGGCAAUGAUACGUAGCCGAACUGAGAGGUUGAUCGGCCACAUUGGGACUGAGACACGGCCCAAACUCCUACGGGAGGCAGCAGUAGGGAAUCUUCCACAAUGGACGCAAGUCUGAUGGAGCAACGCCGCGUGAGUGAAGAAGGCUUUCGGGUCGUAAAACUCUGUUGUUGGAGAAGAAUGGUCGGCAGAGUAACUGUUGUCGGCGUGACGGUAUCCAACCAGAAAGCCACGGCUAACUACGUGCCAGCAGCCGCGGUAAUACGUAGGUGGCAAGCGUUAUCCGGAUUUAUUGGGCGUAAAGCGAGCGCAGGCGGUUUUUUAAGUCUGAUGUGAAAGCCCUCGGCUUAACCGAGGAAGUGCAUCGGAAACUGGGAAACUUGAGUGCAGAAGAGGACAGUGGAACUCCAUGUGUAGCGGUGAAAUGCGUAGAUAUAUGGAAGAACACCAGUGGCGAAGGCGGCUGUCUGGUCUGUAACUGACGCUGAGGCUCGAAAGCAUGGGUAGCGAACAGGAUUAGAUACCCUGGUAGUCCAUGCCGUAAACGAUGAAUGCUAGGUGUUGGAGGGUUUCCGCCCUUCAGUGCCGCAGCUAACGCAUUAAGCAUUCCGCCUGGGGAGUACGACCGCAAGGUUGAAACUCAAAGGAAUUGACGGGGGCCCGCACAAGCGGUGGAGCAUGUGGUUUAAUUCGAAGCAACGCGAAGAACCUUACCAGGUCUUGACAUCUUUUGAUCACCUGAGAGAUCAGGUUUCCCCUUCGGGGGCAAAAUGACAGGUGGUGCAUGGUUGUCGUCAGCUCGUGUCGUGAGAUGUUGGGUUAAGUCCCGCAACGAGCGCAACCCUUACUGUCAGUUACUACGCAAGAGGACUCUGGCCAGACUGCCGUUGACAAAACGGAGGAAGGUGGGGAUGACGUCAAAUCAUCAUGCCCCUUAUGACCUGGGCUACACACGUGCUACAAUGGAUGGUACAACGAGUUGCGAGACCGCGAGGUCAAGCUAAUCUCUUAAAGCCAUUCUCAGUUCGGACUGUAGGCUGCAACUCGCCUACACGAAGUCGGAAUCGCUAGUAAUCGCGGAUCAGCACGCCGCGGUGAAUACGUUCCCGGGCCUUGUACACACCGCCCGUCACACCAUGAGAGUUUGUAACACCCGAAGCCGGUGGCGUAACCCUUUUAGGGAGCGAGCCGUCUAAGGUGGGACAAAUGAUUAGGGUG
rnacentral:rRNA from 1 species